rnacentral:rRNA from 1 species
UACGUAGGGGGCAAGCGUUGUCCGGAAUUAUUGGGCGUAAAGAGCUCGUAGGCGGCUCGUUGCGUCGGCUGUGAAAACCCGCAGCUCAACUGUGGGCUUGCAGCCGAUACGGGCGGGCUGGAGUUCGGUAGGGGAGACUGGAAUUCCUGGUGUAGCGGUGAAAUGCGCAGAUAUCAGGAGGAACGACCGGUGGCGAAGGCGGGUCUCUGGGCCGAUACUGACGCUGAGGAGCGAAAGCGUGGGGAGCGAACAGG